ACACUAUCAUUAACUGAAUCCAUAGGUUAAUGAGGCGAACCGGGGGAACUGAAACAUCUAAGUACCCCGAGGAAAAGAAAUCAACCGAGAUUCCCCCAGUAGCGGCGAGCGAACGGGGAGCAGCCCAGAGCCUGAAUCAGUGUGUGUGUUAGUGGAAGCGUCUGGAAAGGCGCGCGAUACAGGGUGACAGCCCCGUACACAAAAAUGCACAUAUUGUGAGCUCGAUGAGUAGGGCGGGACACGUGGUAUCCUGUCUGAAUAUGGGGGGACCAUCCUCCAAGGCUAAAUACUCCUGACUGACCGAUAGUGAACCAGUACCGUGAGGGAAAGGCGAAAAGAACCCCGGCGAGGGGAGUGAAAAAGAACCUGAAACCGUGUACGUACAAGCAGUGGGAGCACGCUUAGGCGUGUGACUGCGUACCUUUUGUAUAAUGGGUCAGCGACUUAUAUUCUGUAGCAAGGUUAACCGAAUAGGGGAGCCGAAGGGAAACCGAGUCUUAACUGGGCGUUAAGUUGCAGGGUAUAGACCCGAAACCCGGUGAUCUAGCCAUGGGCAGGUUGAAGGUUGGGUAACACUAACUGGAGGACCGAACCGACUAAUGUUGAAAAAUUAGCGGAUGACUUGUGGCUGGGGGUGAAAGGCCAAUCAAACCGGGAGAUAGCUGGUUCUCCCCGAAAGCUAUUUAGGUAGCGCCUCGUGAAUUCAUCUCCGGGGGUAGAGCACUGUUUCGGCAAGGGGGUCAUCCCGACUUACCAACCCGAUGCAAACUGCGAAUACCGGAGAAUGUUAUCACGGGAGACACACGGCGGGUGCUAACGUCCGUCGUGAAGAGGGAAACAACCCAGACCGCCAGCUAAGGUCCCAAAGUCAUGGUUAAGUGGGAAACGAUGUGGGAAGGCCCAGACAGCCAGGAUGUUGGCUUAGAAGCAGCCAUCAUUUAAAGAAAGCGUAAUAGCUCACUGGUCGAGUCGGCCUGCGCGGAAGAUGUAACGGGGCUAAACCAUGCACCGAAGCUGCGGCAGCGACGCUUAUGCGUUGUUGGGUAGGGGAGCGUUCUGUAAGCCUGUGAAGGUGUGCUGUGAGGCAUGCUGGAGGUAUCAGAAGUGCGAAUGCUGACAUAAGUAACGAUAAAGCGGGUGAAAAGCCCGCUCGCCGGAAGACCAAGGGUUCCUGUCCAACGUUAAUCGGGGCAGGGUGAGUCGACCCCUAAGGCGAGGCCGAAAGGCGUAGUCGAUGGGAAACAGGUUAAUAUUCCUGUACUUGGUGUUACUGCGAAGGGGGGACGGAGAAGGCUAUGUUGGCCGGGCGACGGUUGUCCCGGUUUAAGCGUGUAGGCUGGUUUUCCAGGCAAAUCCGGAAAAUCAAGGCUGAGGCGUGAUGACGAGGCACUACGGUGCUGAAGCAACAAAUGCCCUGCUUCCAGGAAAAGCCUCUAAGCAUCAGGUAACAUCAAAUCGUACCCCAAACCGACACAGGUGGUCAGGUAGAGAAUACCAAGGCGCUUGAGAGAACUCGGGUGAAGGAACUAGGCAAAAUGGUGCCGUAACUUCGGGAGAAGGCACGCUGAUAUGUAGGUGAAGCGACUUGCUCGUGGAGCUGAAAUCAGUCGAAGAUACCAGCUGGCUGCAACUGUUUAUUAAAAACACAGCACUGUGCAAACACGAAAGUGGACGUAUACGGUGUGACGCCUGCCCGGUGCCGGAAGGUUAAUUGAUGGGGUCAGCGCAAGCGAAGCUCUUGAUCGAAGCCCCGGUAAACGGCGGCCGUAACUAUAACGGUCCUAAGGUAGCGAAAUUCCUUGUCGGGUAAGUUCCGACCUGCACGAAUGGCGUAAUGAUGGCCAGGCUGUCUCCACCCGAGACUCAGUGAAAUUGAACUCGCUGUGAAGAUGCAGUGUACCCGCGGCAAGACGGAAAGACCCCGUGAACCUUUACUAUAGCUUGACACUGAACAUUGAGCCUUGAUG
rnacentral:rRNA from 1 species